rnacentral:rRNA from 1 species
GACGAACGCUGGCGGCGCGCUUAACACAUGCAAGUCGAACGGAAAGGCCUGCUUUCCCUUGUGGAUUGCGGGUACUCGAGUGGCGAACGGGUGAGUAACACGUGAGUGAUCUGCCCCCAACUUGGGUAUAAGCCUGGGAAACUGGGUCUAAUUCCCGAUAGGACUGCAGGGUGGUGCCUGUGGUGGAAAACGAUUUUCUAGUGGUUGGGGAUGAGCUCGCGGCCUAUCAGCUUGUUGGUGGGGUAAUGGCCUACCAAGGCGGCGACGGGUAGCCGGCCUGAGAGGGUGGACGGCCACAUUGGGACUGAGAUACGGCCCAGACUCCUACGGGAGGCAGCAGUGGGGAAUAUUGCACAAUGGGCGGAAGCCUGAUGCAGCGACGCCGCGUGGGGGAUGACGGCCUUCGGGUUGUAAACUCCUUUCGACCGCGAGGAAGCCACCUGGUGGGAAGGGUGGUGACGGUAGUGGUAGAAGAAGCACCGGCUAACUACGUGC